CAUGCGCGAGAUAAGGGGCAGGUGGACUCCUUUCAGGUGUAAACAUGUCCCAUCAAAGAGAGGCCUUUCAAAUUACUCUCACUGCGUGAAACGUAUAAUUUUAAAACAAUUAUUUCAUGGGAUCCGAGUGUCAUUAUAAGAUCAGCAUUUGUUGGCUUGCUGCCUACGGGGCCUCAGAGGAUAGCUAAGUGUCAGUGUUUUUCUAUGGAGUCACUUUGUAGGCCAGAUACAGGAGUUAUACCUGCCCAAUUACAUGAAUGUACAAGAUCCCAUGGCACAAGCAAAGCAGAGGAGCAAUCCUGGCAUCUUAGAUCAUAUUUAGCCCUCAAAACAGCAUGAUUACAACAGAUUAUCUGCUUGCUCAAUCACAGCACUAUCCAAUGAGGGCAAUGGGGGUUAUCAGAAGCAGAGUUGAAAUAAAAAUCCCAUAUAACCUUC